rnacentral:rRNA from 1 species
GACGAACGCUGGCGGCGUGCUUAACACAUGCAAGUCGAACGGAAAGGCCCUGCUUUUGUGGGGUGCUCGAGUGGCGAACGGGUGAGUAACACGUGAGUAACCUGCCCUUGACUUUGGGAUAACUUCAGGAAACUGGGGCUAAUACCGGAUAGGAGCUCCUGCUGCAUGGUGGGGGUUGGAAAGUUUCGGCGGUUGGGGAUGGACUCGCGGCUUAUCAGCUUGUUGGUGGGGUAGUGGCUUACCAAGGCUUUGACGGGUAGCCGGCCUGAGAGGGUGACCGGCCACAUGGGGACUGAGAGACGGCCCAGACUGCUACGGGAGGCAGCAGUGGGGAAUAUUGCACAAUGGGCGGAAGCCUGAUGCAGCAACGCCGCGUGCGGGAUGACGGCCUUCGGGUUGUAAACCGCUUUCGCCUGUGACGAAGCGUGAGUGACGGUAAUGGGUAAAGAAGCACCGGCUAACUACGUG